rfam:Caenorhabditis briggsae complete genome, chrIV
UACCCGUAGCUCCUUGCCAUGUUACUGGUAAAAGUGAACAUGGAAGUUGGUCCGGGUACA